AGCAGUCUUCAGGGCAUUUCUUUUCCCUGUUGGAGAGACGCUGUUAUUACGCUAUUAUUGGUCCACAAUGUGCUGACUCAGUGGUUACGGCGUAACCCUCCCCUCCACGCUGACUAGAGCAUUGGCCUGGCGUAGGCAAAUGGCUGAGCCCUUCUGGAUGAACUCAGGGCAUCUCUGAGGACUGUGGACCUGGCCCAGCCCUCCGCAGGGUGUAACCCUGCUCUGGGGUGAACUUUCAUUCACUGUGGAGCAGAAAAUGCAUCUAUAAGCAUCAAUUUACUGUGUCCUGCCUGGCUUCAGGGCCUCAGACGCAUCCUGAAGAGCAUCCAGGGAAGCCUUAGAGCAUGGGCUUCUCUGCUAAGAACUGGUGAUGUCACGCAGGCUGGAAGCUGACAAUUUAAGUCAAUUCACUCUCCAAAAUGUUGCACCCCUGCUGCGUGUUAAGCUCAUUGAAGUUGGAGAGUUGAAUGAGCUAA